AUAAACAUCCAUAUCACCCUGCAGCCCAAGACUGGUUACUCACUGAAGCUAAGCAGGGCUGAGCCUGGUCAGUACCUGGAUGGGAGACCACAUGAGAAAGCUAGGUUGCUAUUAGAA
rnacentral:rRNA from 1 species